rnacentral:rRNA from 1 species
CCUACGGGAGGCAGCAGUGGGGAAUAUUGCACAAUGGGGGAAACCCUGAUGCAGCAACGCCGCGUGAGUGAAGAAGGAUUUCGGUAUGUAAAGCUCUAUCAGCAGGGAAGAAGAAAGACGGUAGCUGACUAAGAAGCCCCGGCGAACUACGGGCAAGAAGCCGCGGUAAAACGUAGGGGGCAAGCGUUAGCCGGAUUUACUGGGUGUACAGGGAGCGUAGACGGCUGUGCAAGUCUGAGGUGAAAGCCCGUGGCUAAACCGCGGAACUGCUUUGGAAACUGUAUAGCUUGAGUACUUGAGAGGCAGGCGGAAUUCCUAGUGUAGCGGUGAAAUGCGUAGAUAUUAGGAGGAACACCAGUGGCGAAGGCGGCCUGCUGGACAGAAACUGACGUUGAGGCUCGAAAGCGUGGGGAGCAAACAGGAUUAGAUACCCCAGUAGUC